CAAGUAAGACAGGUAAUCGCGUCUGCAAAUGAUGGCCUUUGCCCGUCAGGCCGAAAGGCAGCAGAUGAGGAAAGUCCGGGCUUCACAGGGCAGGAUGCCGGAUAACGUCCGGUGGAGGCGACUCCAAGGAAAGUGCAACAGAAAUGAACCGCCAUUUGAUAUGGUAAGGGUGGAAGGGCAGUGUAAGAGACUACCGCCUUGCUGGUAACAGCAGGGGCACAUGUAAACCCCAUCCGAAGCAAGACCGGAUAAAGACAAUGUGGCGGCCCGUCACGUCUUAGGUAGGUUGCUUGACCCCGUCGGCAACGGCGGGGCUAGAUAGAUGAUUACCCAACGACAUAACCCGGCUUAUCGUCUUGCUUGCAAA
rnacentral:RNase_P_RNA from 1 species